GAGCGCAACCCUUGUCCUUAGUUACCAGCACGUUAUGGUGGGCGACUCUAAGGAGACUGCCGGUGACAAACCGGAGGAAGGUGGGGAUGACGUCAAGUCAUCAUGGCCCUUACGGCCUGGGCUACACACGUGCUACAAUGGUCGGUACAAAGGGUUGCCAAGCCGCGAGGUGGAGCUAAUCCCAUAAAACCGAUCGUAGUCCGGAUCGCAGUCUGCAACUCGACUGCGUGAAGUCGGAAUCGCUAGUAAUCGUGAAUCAGAAUGUCACGGUGAAUACGUUCCCGGGCCUU
rnacentral:rRNA from 1 species